AAGCGGGGACAGGGGCCGAGCUGAGUGCCUGUAAAAAGGCCACUUCAAGCCCCAUUGUGGGGACAGCAGCAGGUGGGCAUGUCUGCGCUUUGAAUGCCUCUUCCCGAGAUGCCCUGCGCUAAUGGAUGUGCAUUAACAGCGUCCCUUCCUCGGUCCCCGCUGGAGAACUCUGAAUUCCUGAGGAAGGGCAGCCGUCAAUGCCUGAGGCUCCCACAAAGGGCCCAUUGUGGUCACCGCUGAGUCAGACUGGUGACGGUUGGCACCUGAGCUCAGUCAGUCUGGAGUAAGUGGUUGGCAGGGACGUCAUCCGGGAGAGCGGGUUUGAGUGUAACGGCCAGGACAUCUUCAGCAAAGACCUCGCCUCCAGGAAGUCCAUUCUGACUGCCCAGAAACAGACCCUCGUUUUGAAAAGAGGGUUUGGGGCUAAGGUAAGCUUGGGAAAGGGCACAGGAAGCUCUGCAGCGGAAAACGCCCACGCUCCGCGCAAUGGAACAAGAAGAGCGGGACGUUCUAACGCAGGCGUCCUGCGUCACUGCAUCACACCAUCGUGAUGAAAUGAAUGAUACAGAGGCCGUGACCCGGGCUGGCUGGUCAGCCACAGGAUGGGUUUGCCAGCAGGCCUGGUACUUAGGAAGAGAUCCACCUUGCCCCCCUGGCCCUAGCUUUCUCUGGGACUGAGAAUGGGCAGGAAGAGCGGUUGGCCAGCCCCUGUGAGGAGUCUUGAGGAGGUACAAAGGAGACCAGAGAGGCCGGUGGACAGGUGUCUAGCUCCUUGGCUCAAAGUUCAGAGGGCUUUGUUGUGUCCAUUGGUGCGUUCUGUUUCCCUUUCUUUCCUUCCUUCCUUCCAGAGAGGGUCUCAUGUAGGCCAAGGUGACCUUGAAUUCACUAUAUAGUUGAAGAAGAUGACCUUGAACUCUGAAGUCCUCCAGUUCCCAUCCCAAGAGUGCUAGAGUUUCAGGUGUGCACCACCUCACAUGGUUUUAUGCAGUGCCGAGGACUGAACCCGGGACCCUGUGAGUGCGAGGCAAGAAGUGCCAGCCGGACCGUACGCCCAGUCGUUUCUGUUUUUUCUCCCUAUUCCCCCUUCUUCUCUUUCGGUAAGGCCUUGCUAUGUAGCCCAGGCUGGCCUUGAACUCAUAGCAACCCUCCUGCCCCAGCCUCUCAAGUGCUGGGGUUAGAGGCAUGAACCACCACAUUCAGCUGUUAUCAUUUCUUCACAGAGUUCCAUUCUAGACCUGAUUUUAAUCCAUGGAACAUCUUGCCUGGAAGGGACCAAGGGCCAUGGAAUCCUGUCACUGUUUAGAUAACAGGGGGUACAAGGCACGGCAAGAGCCCAGGUUACCCCAUCCCUCACUGCUUCUCCCUUCAACACUCUGACUCCACUUUGGCCCCAGGGGGCUGAAAGCCAAUGGGGGGUGGGGGUCCCGAAGAGGCCUUGCCUUGGCUGUGGGCCUCUGGCCUGGACCCUUCUGCUCUCUGGGACAUGCAAUCCUUGCAGGCUGUGGUGGGCUCCUGCGCUAACACAUGCAUUAGUGGAUGAAAGCCGUCUCCAGGGGCUCUUCACCAGGGCCCUUUGGCUGUAAUAAAGCAAAUUAAAACCCCAUUCAAAGGUCAAUUGAAAUCUCUUUCAUGCCACGUUUCCACACAAAUUGAUUCCUCUUUGCCCUUGGGGUCGCAGUGAAUGCCAUAAAGGGGCCCAGCUGUAGCUAGAUGGGAACAACUUGAAAAAUUGCCUCCCCUGGGGCUUUGGCAGGGAUGAGGGGGCAGUGGACCCUCCCCUUUCCCAGGACCAUCUGGGGCACCAAGGGCCCUCUUCUCCAGUUUGCUCCUGGCUUUGGAACCCAUCCAUGGAGCUCAAAUCCACACUUCUUCCUCCAUUCCAGCAGGCUGCCGUCAGAGGAGUCAGGAUUCCCUUUAACUAAACUGCCCAGCCUGACCUCAACCUUGAGAGGCCCUUGCCUCAGUAUCCCGAGUGCCUGGAUGACAGACGUGAAUUGUGUGUCCAGCAGACGGACCCAGUGUUUGCACUGACAAUCUCUGUUUUAUUUCUCUGUAUAGCCCUGGCUGUCCUGAAACUCUCUCUGGGGACCUCAAGAGAUCUACCUGCCUCUGCUUCCCAAGUGCUGCCAUUAAAGGUGUGUGCUGACAAUCUUAAUAGCAACUGGAAUGUUCCCGAUCUGCUUGAACCCUGGCCAGCACCAUGAGAAUGAUGCAUCGUCUUGAGGCCCCGCCUCUGCGUCACUUUCAAAUCUGACCUCCGCCCUGGCUUCUACGCUUGUGACUCCCUGACAACCUUGGCUUAUCUGUCCCCUAAUGACCCUGCAGCAAUGGCCAGAGGCACCAUUCAAGGAGGCUUUCGGGAUCUUGUCUCUGGCUUGGACCCAGUGUGGCUCUUUUCUGCACUUGGCAUUUGUAAGGGAGGAGGAAUCUUUACGAUUGACUUUGACAGGUUCAUUUGAGACAGAUCCUUGUAAAUGACUAGGAGGAGAGAAAGGUCCUUCUCAGGUGUCGCGGAUAGGAGUGUGUUUACUUCAGAUUAUUCAUUACACCUGGCCGUUACUUGUUUGUAUGCCUCUGUGGGAAAGCAUGCUUUGCCACAUGCGUCUCACCUGCUCCCUGGGGCUCGCCUGCCCCGUGCAGUUUGCCCAUCACACAUGCGGCUUGUCCUUGUGGUUGGACACUUUUUUCAGGCGACUCCUCUUAACCCUCAGAUCAUAAACUGUCUGAUGCUCUGAAUAAAGUUGGCUAUUGCAUGA